UACGAAGGGGGCUAGCGUUGCUCGGAAUCACUGGGCGUAAAGGGUGCGUAGGCGGGUUUUUAAGUCAGGGGUGAAAUCCCGGGGCUCAACCCCGGAACUGCAUUGGAUACUGCCUUGCUUGAGUACUGGAGAGGGAACUGGAAUUUACGGUGUAGCAGUGAAAUGCGUAGAGAUCGUAAGGAAGGCCAGUGGCGAAGGCGAGUUCCUGGACAGUGACUGACGCUGAGGCACGAAGGCCAGGGGAGCAAACGGG
rnacentral:rRNA from 1 species